CUGCAUGUGGUAGAGAAAUGGUUGUUGCAAACACAUUCGGUUCCUUUGCACAGCUGGUGCUCAUAGUCCUUGGAGGCUUUGUCAUAUCAAGAAGUAAGAUGUCUUUAAGAUAAUGUGCUUCUGUACAAGGCCAAGAUUCUUGCAACAAAUUAAAAGCCAUUAUCUCAACUUUAAUUUUAUUAGUAAGACUAAUGACAAAUGCAUGACUAAAUCUUCUUUGCUUUCUUCAGAGGAUAUCAGGAAAUGGUGGAUCUGGGGUUACUGGUCUUCACCCUUGAUGUAUGCACAGAAUGCAAUAGCUGUGAACGAAUUUCUUGGGAAAAAAUGGAGAUAUGUAAGAAAUUCCCUACUGAAUAUGCAAAAGUUUGAUUCAUUGGAAUUGAUCUAAGUUAGCAUUGACUCCUCAAAACAGGUUGUUAAUGCGACUGCUAGCACAGAAACUUUGGGAGUCCAAGUUUUGGAGUCUCGAGGUCUUUUUCCCCAAGCAAAAUGGUAUUGGAUUGGUGUCGGUGCAUUGCUUGGAUAUAUUGUGGUUUUCAAUUUCUUCUUCACUGUUGCGCUUUCUUACCUUGACCGUGAGCUCCCUCCCCUCCAAAAUUAAAUGUUUCUCAGUAAUACUGGUCGCACUUCUCAGCAGGAUAAAUCAAUGAUCUAAUUGACAAAUUACAUUGAUGCAGCAAUUGGAAAAGGCCAAACAGUUAUAUCUGAAGAAGCGUUGAAAGAGAAGCAAGCUAACCGAACAGGUGAAAGUGUCGAGCUGCCAACUAGAGAAAGGAACUCCAGCCAUCCAUCUGAAGGUCAGUUUAAUAAAAAAGUUCGCAAUCUGAUUUACAGGAACACUGAUGCUUACCUACAAAUCCACAUGACUGCAGCAAGAGGCAGUGGAAGUAGGACCACGGGGAUGGAGAUCAGCACUGAGGCUAAUCAGAACAGGAGGAAGGGUAUGGUACUUCCAUUUGUUCCACUCUCACUCACAUUUGAUGAUGUCAAAUACUCCGUGGACAUGCCACAGGUAUGCUCGAGUUCAAACAUAUUAUGCAAUUUUACAAAGUAAAGGCUAGGUUACGUCAUUCACAUUAUUAUAAAUUUAUAAUCAAAGAACUGCGGACUGAUUGUUAAUUUACACUCACAGGAAAUGAAAGCUCAAGGAGUGACAGAAGAUCGAUUGGAACUGCUCAAGGGUGUAAGUGGAGCAUUCAGGCCAGGAGUUCUCACAGCACUGAUGGGUGUCAGUGGAGCAGGUAAGACAACAUUGAUGGACGUGUUGGCUGGGAGAAAAACGGGCGGAUAUAUUGAGGGAAGCAUCAAAAUAUCUGGUUAUCCAAAGAAGCAGGAAACUUUUGCACGGAUAUCAGGAUACUGUGAGCAAAAUGACAUCCACUCACCCCAUGUGACAAUAUAUGAGUCUCUUGUCUACUCUGCAUGGCUAAGGUUACCCCCUGAAGUUGAUUCUAGCAGAAGAAAGGUAGGCACUGCAAUAACUUUACACCCUACAGCUCAAAUGGUAGCAUCAUGUAGUAUGUACAAUAUGCAUCAUUCAUCAUUUCCUGGACAUUUAAACAUAUAUGUUGGGUCUUUCUUUUUCAGGAAAAAUAAAGGGUCGGUGCCAGCAUGUAAUACAACACUUUAGAAAGAAUGUUUUCUACAUAAUUUCCUCAGAUGAUAUGUAGUUUAUAUUGGAGCAUCAUGAUAUUAUUAUGCAAAUGAACAGGCAAAAGUUAGACUAGACCACAUAAUCAUGAGUUGGUAAUCUGCAAUUACCUCCUAGAAUACCAAAACCUGUUCACAAGCUCAUAACAAGUUGAUUAUACAGAUCCAGUAGGUUGAUUACACCAUCAGUUCAACAAGUUUUAUUAUAUAUCACAUUUGAGACUAAGUUUAUAAAGUUGGUUAUUCAGAUCCAGUGGGUUGAUUGCCUCAUCAGUUCAUUGUAUAUUCGAUAUAUGCAUGAAAAGAAGUAUGUACUUCUUUUCAACGUCAGCUUAUCUUCUCCAUAAGCUCAUCGGUAUCACUUUCAGAUUACAACUAUUGACCUAACCUUAUAUUUCGCAAUUCCAUUCUUUCCACUUAUUAUACUUUAUGUUAUUUGUGUCUAAGUCACACAUGUUAACAGUUUCUAUAUGAUCUAUACAAAACACUCAUCAUAAGCUUCUAUCUUAUUUAUGUCUUAAUAGCACCUGAGGUGUAAAUUCUCAUGUUUUGUGAUGUAGAGAACACAAGGAAUUUCUCUUAGUGGAUUCCAAGCAUUUUAUAUUAUGUAAUCAAGUUGCAGGCAGGCUCCCAACUUGGUAUAACCAGUUGUUCAGUUAUUGUUUGAGGAAUUUGUCACCGACCAGCCACAUGCAGCAUCUUCCUCCCAAUCCUUAUUGCACUUUAUAUCAUAAAGUGCUGAAAGAGCAUGGCAUGAAACACGAGACUAUUAAAUAAACAAUACUUAUCUAAAAAUUCUAAUUAAUCACAUAAUGCAUACAAAACACAUAUAUGCCCUGAAAAAACAAUACAAUUGCAUACAUAAGAUUUAAGGAAGGAAAAGAAAAUUUUCUUUCUUUCCUCUUCUUAUGAACAUUUUGCGUGCCUUGUUUCAUUUAUCUAUCUACACAAACAAUAGAGGCAAGGGCUAGCAUACUGGCAUACUAGUGAUUGUAGAAGCAGGAUUGCAUGGAUCACCUGACAUGGAUUGUCCAAAAACUAUUUGUGAGGAUAUCUUUAAACUCAAUGCUCAUAUUUUGCUGAUGUUCGCAUGCAUGUGACUACUUACAAAAAGCAAAACAUAUAGAGAGGGCGUGUUUUGUAAUUUCUUUUGGGGCUAAUAAUUUGGUCAUAUAGUUUUUUAUGUGUUUCAUGCUGUGUCUGCUAUACUUACACAUGCUACAUAGCAUAUGACAUAAUAUACUGAACUUUGAUAUUAAACAUCAUACUCACUCUUGACUUUGCUUUUCUCUGAUCCAUCAACUCUUGAUGCCUAUGGUCUCUUACACCAGUAACUAACAACAUUGUGGUUCUAGUAAAGCCAUAUUCAAUGCAAUUUAUGUAAGAUAUUCAUUUUUAGAUCUAUUACCUAUUUACAGAAAUAAAUCAAAUAAAUAAAUUUAUAAAAAACACAUUUCUAGGAUGACAAAUCUUCAAAAAUAAAAUAAAAUAAGUCCUCUCUAUUGUAAUUGAACCAGUCCAACUCCCUCUCCUUGAUGUUUCUAUGAUUUGUUGUACAUCCAGAAACCAUGUAAUACAUCCAUCAUGCAUUUCUAAUCGAGUAGCGUAUCUCAAAUAUUCCAUAUAUCUUAAAAGAAAUUAUCUCUGGUAUCCUAUAAAUUGUAUGCAAAUGGUAAGAUGCUAUUUGGAUGAUAGUGGUGAUGAAUGAAAAUUUUAGUGAUAGAAAAAAAAGAGUGAAGGUCGGUCCAUACAGCUAGCUCAGAAGAUUGAUUUUUAAUAUAACAAACUACAAUUACAUUUAAUCAAAUUUAACUAUAUAGCAAACUCAAAUCUAAUGUUAGUGAAUAAAGAAGAUUAGCAAAUGUACCUCUAUAGUAUUCCAAUAUUGAUGGCUAAGAAAAAAGGCCCAAGUUAUUAAAAUCUUUUCUAGCAUCUUAAGCAGGAGAAGAAUAAAUUGAUAUGGCACAUAUGCAAUGUAUUGAUUUUUUAAAGAUUAGAAGAGUUCAUAUAUCCUUAACAGUAUUUCCUACAUUGGUCUAUGCUUGUCUAUAUCAACUAAUGCCUAAAUGAAUUGGUUUACUUCUAGUCUGUUUAGCCAAUAAUCGACAGUGGACACAAUAAAUGCAGAUGUUUAUCGAGGAGGUUAUGGAACUAGUCGAGCUCACACCGCUGAGGAAAGCAAUGGUUGGCUUGCCAGGUGUAAAUGGGCUGUCAACCGAGCAGCGCAAAAGAUUGACAAUUGCGGUUGAGCUUGUUGCAAAUCCUUCCAUAAUUUUCAUGGAUGAGCCUACAUCUGGACUAGAUGCACGAGCAGCAGCAAUUGUCAUGAGAACUGUCAGGAACACGGUAGAUACAGGAAGAACAGUUGUGUGCACAAUUCACCAACCUAGUAUUGACAUUUUUGAAGCCUUCGAUGAGGUAAGAGAUAACUGGAAAAGCAAAAUUUGCUGUUCCUCCUUAGAGAUGGAUAUGCUAAUGCACCACAAUUCCAUGACCUUUCUGUGCCAGACCAGCCAGAGGGGUUCUUUUGGCUUAUUGGUACUAUUGUUUUGAUGUCUAAUUUUACCAAAAUUGCAGCUCUUUCUUAUGAAACGAGGCGGUGAAGAGAUCUAUGUAGGCCCACUGGGGCACAACUCAUGCGAACUAAUCAAGUAUUUUGAGGUGAUGAGAAAAAUAGUAUAGAUCUGCAUGAAUUUUUCCUUUCCCUUGAUGAGAUCCCAUGUUAUAGGUGCUGAUAGCAAUUGUUUAUUUUUAAGGGAAUAAGUGGAGUCGCUAAGAUAAAAGAUGGUUAUAACCCAGCAACAUGGAUGUUGGAAGUCACUUCAAUGGCACAAGAAGAAAUUCUAGGAGUUAAUUUUGUUGAAGUAUACAAGAACUCAGAUUUAUUCAGGUAUGUUGACUACUAGCACUUUCACUGCAUCUCUGACCUCUUGUAUUAAGAAAAUUUUUGUGGUGAUUCUUGCAGGAGAAACAAAGCUCUGAUUCAAGAACUCAGUACACCUCCUCCUGGUUCAAAAGAUCUCUACUUCCCCGCACAAUAUGCACAACCAUCCCUCAUCCAGUGCAUCGCUUGCUUCUGGAAACAGUACAAGUCAUAUUGGCGCAAUCCAUCAUACAAUGCCAUACGGUUAUUCUUUACAACAGUUAUAGCCCUAAUGUUUGGGACAAUAUUCUGGAGACUUGGCUCUAAAACGUAUUAAUUCUGGAUCUUUACUUCAAUUUGAUGUAACUCUUGUCUUCAUGUCAAAUUUAUGAUUUUUUUAAUUUGGUAAUGACAAAAGCACCUCUACGUGGUCGUAAAAUUUGCAGAACCACACAGCAGGAUCUGUUCAAUGCCACGGGAUCAAUGUAUUGUGCAGUCAUGUUUAUUGGAAUACAGAAUUCUCAAACUGUCCAGCCUAUUGUGGAUGUUGAACGGACAGUAUUCUAUAGAGAGAAGGCUGCAGGAAUGUAUUCUGCUUUACCAUAUGCAUUUGCACAGGUAAAUGUAUAAGAUUUCAUGCUUCAGGACUGUCAUGUUUCAAACAAUCAAAUGAUUUUUCAGGUUAUUCUGUACUGGAUCCUCAUUAACAAUUGGGGACCAAUAUUACCAUAUUUAUGCAUUUCUUUCUUUUCUUUCAUGAAUCACUCCUCACCUUAUUCUAUUGCAUUCAGGUUGCAAUUGAAAUACCAUAUACCUUCCUUCAGACAGUGGUAUAUGGGUUACUUGUGUACAGCAUGAUAAAUUUUGAUUGGACAGCUGCCAAGUUCAUGUGGUACAUAUUCUUCAUGUUCUUCACAUUUCUUUACUUCACAUACUAUGGGAUGAUGGCAGUGGCACUGACACCCAAUUCAAACAUUGCUGCAAUAGUAUCCACUGCAUUUUAUGCAAUAUGGAAUCUCUUUGCAGGCUUCGUGAUUCCUCGUCCGGUAAGUUUAAUUUAUCAUAUAUUUUUUAUUCAAGGAUUCAAGCACUAAAUUUCAUUUAUUGACUACAGAGGAUACCUGUAUGGUGGAGAUGGUACUACUGGGCAUGCCCAAUUUCUUGGACUCUUUAUGGCCUGCUUGCCUCACAGUUCGGAGACAUGGGUGAUACCACCAUGGACACAGGUGAAACCGUGAAGCACUUCGUAAGGAGGUACUUUGGAUACGAACAUGACUUCUUGGGAGCAGUUGCUGCUGCAGUUAUUGCAUUUCCUGUGCUCUUUGCGACUGUCUUUUCAUUUGGAGUCAAGGUGUUGAAUUUCCAACGGAGAUGAGAUCUCUAGUGAACAGCAGAGCUUAUAUUUUGUUAGAUGCUGGUAAAGCAGUUUUUCUGUUAAUGAAGAAGUGUAAGUUUUGGUAUUUAUGAUUUCUGAAAGAUCACGGGAGCCAUAAUGAUGUAAAAUAAUAAAAUAAUUGCUUGUUAAUACAAUCACUCGUUUGGUGUGACCUUAUGCAUUCUCAAAGGUUGAUUUUCUCCAAUAUGACAGACACCAAGGAUGAAGUUUCUUUUUAUGUGUCACGUCCAAUUUUUUUGUACUUAUUAAUUAAGGAUAAAUCUUUUUUUGAAAGGCGAAGAAGGAGCGAGUUGCCUCCCUCCGCAACAAUUUAUUCAAAGCAUAGAGAAAAUACAGGAAGAAAGAUUACAAGUUAGGAAUCAGAGCUAAUAAGUAGAGAGCUAAGAUUGCAUGUUAUUUUAGGAUAAAUCAUGUUGUUUUGUUUCAAUUUGCCUUUGUGUUUGGACAACUCCACGGCAACAGGUACGAGCAAGAAGAUUUCAUUGAUGUGCUCUAACACAACCUAUGACCUCCUCCAAAAAACUAGCUGGUAGGUGUCAUUUGGAUUUCUUGGCCCUGUAUAAAUAUCCAAGAUCUACCCAGUGUAUAGCCGAUGUGGAACUAAAUACAUACCUGCAUGGGUUCUCACAUACUUCUUUUUUUAAGCUCCAGCUUCCUUGCCAGGCUAAAUAUCCAAAUCUAUUCAAAUCCAAUCAUAAAUGCCACAAAUCCAUUCACAAACACCACAUACAACUCAUGUGCAAUCCAAAUAAACCUAUGCUACGGUAUCUUCUAAUCCAUAUGAGCUAUGAGCUGGACCCACUCUAAUACCAUUUACAACAAUCCAAGACCUUAUCAAAAAAAACUAGUCGGAACAUAGUAUGUUAUACCAACCUGAAUCGGAUGGUACGUACCGUACCGUACUAUACCAUACCAGUUCGAUAUCGAUAUUCGAUAUGGAUGGCGUACCGACAAUCGGUACGCUAUAAAAAUUCUAUACCAUACCAUAUCGAUAAUGUGCUAGUGUGGCACCGGCACCAAGAUGACGAAUCUUGAGUCGGAAAGUAUUAUUUGGAUUUCUUGACCUUAUAUAAGCGCCCAAGAUUUAUCCAGUGCAUAUGGGAGUAAAUACGCGCUCGAGCGGGUUCUCACAUGGUACCUAGCACUUUUGUACUUAGGGAUCAGCUGAUGAAACCACUAAUCACCACAUAUCCUCAUAUCAAUCACCAAGUUUCAUAUAUACUCUAUUUAACUAGAUAAUUACCUUAUCACUAGUCCCAUUGGAUUUUCAUAACAAAAAGGAUGCCAUGACCAUGUAAUUGUUUGUUAAUAUUAUCAUGAUAAUUUCUCUCCUUCAACACUCCUUUCAUCAUCACCUAUGACACACUCUAAAGCUAAGACAUUUCACAACGAUGUCUUGAGACCAAGGCCCAGAAACUCUUACAAUUACUCCCCCUCUAAUUGAUAUAUUUUGCCACAUGAUGCAAUUUUAUUUCCUAAAUGAAGGACUUCAGCCACUUAUGUUCUCUCCUACCAAUAUUCACGGACCUUUUGAUUAAUUUGAGUAAACAUAAUCAAUCCUACCACUGAUAGAGACCUUAUCACCAAUUUCAUCCACUUUCUGUCUACCCUUAACACUGCCACAUCCUCAUCCGGCUUCCCAUUCUAGCAACCUCCUCUUGUCUAUUUCAACUAAGUAAGGUCAUUGCCUACCACUAUUUGACUACCACAGUCCAUAUUUUGCUAUCAAAAUUACGACCCGUCACCCAUCUCACCUAUCAGUAACGAUCGACAACUGUAGGCUCAAUCAGAUCGCCCCAAUAGGCACACAUGAAAACCUUGUUGAUGCCUCAUCCUCCAUUGGUUAAUGCACUGCUCAUAUAAUCUACCAUCUUCCCACUCCCACAUCUAACAUCUCGUCUUGAAGCACUGUAACACAAAUAAUUGAAAGUGUUUGAACUUUCAAGUGUUGAAAUCCGAAAGAUACAGAAAUGUAACUUCGAGAAGGCCAAUAAAAUAAUGCACGAUAAUCGUGAGACAGCAAAAAUCAAGCAAAUUUGAUGGUCCAAGCAAUGUUACACUUGCCAACUUUCGGCAAUAGUGUAAAACACUAACAUGAGAGAUUAUCAUAAUGUUUUGGUGAUGACCGUUGUUGCUGGAAACUGGACCCGGGGGCGACCGGUCCACUGGGAAGGAGGAGCUCCAGCAAGAACUGGCGGGCGGCGAUCCGUCAACGGGCGGCAUCCUCCGCAAGUGGCCUGCAAAAAGCCGGUGGCCGGGGUUUCCGGCGCCGGCCCUCCGAUGGCUAAGUCAGAGGGGGCAAGUGUAUUCAAAAGUGGGAGGGAAGAAAAAAUAUCAUCCGGACUUCGGAGUCCAAUCCCCUUUUUAGAGGGAGAUAUAGGAUUACCUGUGAUACGACGGGGCGAAAUUACCGUAUGGUUAAGCAUUUCGUCGGAAUUAAUGCACGAUCGUAUGUAUUAAUGGCUUGCCGUGUGAGAUCAGGUCGGAGCCAGGGAGUUGUCAUGACGGAUCGGACGUAGCCGAGCUGAGUUGCCGUGAAGAGCUUGAGGUCCGUAGAUAACAGGAGUCGCGUGCAUUAAUUGUUGAGUGAGCUGAGGGUUUGCAGAGACCAUGUGCAUUAAUUGUUGAGUGAGCCGAGGGUCUGCAGGGACCAUGCUCAUUAAUGGUUGAGUAAGCCAGAGGUCUGCAGAGGUCAUGCGCGUUAAUUGUUAGCGGCGGUGACAGGGUAUGGCCUCUGGUUAAGCUACAGAAGGAUGUGACCGUGGUGGGUGGGCGGCGAGGUCGGGCUUCCGAGGUCGGCGAACUCCGAGGUUGUGCGCCUGGUCGAGCGUUAGGCCGGGCGUCCAAGGUAGGGUGCUUAGACCGAAGUUGCGUGUCAGGUUGGGCGCCUUCAGUUCGGCCGCCCUCAGGUCAGACACUUAGAGGUCGGACGUUCUCAGGUCGGGCGCCGGCAGCCGGUUUACGGGCCUUGGGGCUGUUUAUUUUCCUCCAACACUACCCCCGACUUCCGAGAUCGAGCCGUUUGCGAGCUCGGGCGUGGGAAGUAGCUGCCUUAAUUGCGCUGGGGGCCAGGGGGUCUUAAAUUAUUUCGGCAUUCCGCGCGCUUCGGGGUUUCUUUAAUGAGAGGAGACGGGGCGACGUCCUGUCGUCCUUCGAGGCUGCCUCGUGUGGCGGGCUCGUAAUGGAGCUUCGGGAUCCGAUGGGACGCUGCAUGAUUCUGCAUUCGAAGCGUCUAUCCGGGUUAAGUGUGCCGUCUCGGCUUCCGAGGCCGACACGUGGCAAGAUCUGGCCAGAGGGCGGGAUUUAGUUUCGCUGAUCUGGACCGUUGGGGAGGUCUAUAUAAACUCCUUGCCUUAGCCCUAAGGUCUCGCUUGGCCGCUAUUGCUUUUUCUUUCUCACUCGUUUUCUCUCUUCUUCCUUUGUCCGACCGAGUCUCCCCGGCGGUGUGCUAAGGCGAUUUCCGGCGGCCGCCUCGUAGGUCUUUUUCCCACGUAGGCUCGGGGGUUCCCUUCUUCUCCUUCUUCUCCCCCUUAUUUCUCGUUUUCUUCUUUGCUUUCCUUCGGUUUUUUGUCUUUUCGGUCGUCCCUCUUCUUUUCUGGGAUGGGUCGUGGUCCUGGUGAGGUCGGGUCUAAACUGACCGAAGAGGAACUGGACUUGGUCCGUUCCCGGUUCUUUUUUCGGCCUGGGUUUCAUCUUGAGCCCGCAGGGUCGGAGGACCGGGUAACAAGGCCCCCUCCGAGCCGGAUCGAAGUAUACGUCGAGACACUCUGGGCCGGCCUUCGGUUCCCCCUUCACGAGUUCGUGAACGAGCUACUGGUGGAGUACCAGCUCAUCCCAGCUCAGCUCGCCCCGAACUCGUGGAGGACCAUUAUUGGGUUCAUAUCCCUUUGCCUUGCGCACGGGAUACCGACCCUGGUAGGUGUUUUCCGCCGGUGCUUUUUGUUAAAGUCAAACCCGGCGGACGGAGAGUGGCUAUACUUCGCCUUUCGAGGCGGUAUGUCCCUCUUCCGAGGUGCCCCCUCCUCUAUCCAUGACUGGAAGGAGAGAUUUUUCUUUCUUGCUUCCGUGCUCUCGUGGGGGUUUGACCCGAGAUGGGGGACUCCCCGACUGAAGGCUCUCAACCGGCUCACCGAUCUUUCGGCAGACGAGCAGAGGGCAUUUGAUGCCCUACGCGGCCUCGAGGGCGACAUCACUGUUACCGACCUCCUGAGUGAGGAGGCUUUGGUGAACGCCGGCCUAAGCUCGGCGCGCCCCGAGGGUAAGAGCGGUUGCAUUGCUUCCCUUGUUUUGCUAGUCUUUUCGCUCUUUUUCUUUCCUUAAUCAUUGAUCUUAAUACUUAGAAAGAUUAUUUCCUUUUCAGACGUUUCCAACAUGGUGACGAGCAAUACCGCGCUCUUCUCCCGCCUUAAGAGAAGGGCGGCCGAAGCUGGCGGGGCUCUUCCAGAGCCCAGGAAGAAGGCCAGGGCGGCCUCGACUUCCGCCCCUGCCGAGGCGAGGGGCUCCGGGGCCGGCCUUUCCAGAUCCGUCCGGGUUGAAGCCCCGGUUACCGAGCAGGCGAACUCGGGCUCAAAAAGGGGGGCGGGCCCGGCGUCCCCAGCGUGCCCUGUGCCUAUUUCCCAGCGGCCAAAUCGGCCAAUCGUCCGCCUGCAGCGUUCAGGCCCCCAGCCAAGCGGGGGCGACGGGGUUCCGAGCUCGUCGAGGGCUGGAGGUCGCGUCGAGGGGGAGUCCGAUGACUCGGAGUCCCCCAUUCGCGAGGGCAGCUCGGCCCUCCACGACAGCGAGGUCACGCGCGCGGUGUUUCGUCGCGCGCUUCUUCCGGCCGAUCGGGCCGAGUUCAGGUCCGUCGGCCUCACCGAGUUGGUCGACCAGACCUACUGUAAUGCUAACCGGGUAAGUUACUUCUUUCUCUAGUUUUGGUUGUGUGUCACUUCCUUGGCCUUAACUUACCGCUUCUUUCCUUUUCUGCAGCACCUCCACGAGAUUGACAACCUGGUAUUCAUAGCCUUGGAGUGCCAGAAUGAAUCUCGGCGAUUCCAGAGGCAGAUGGAGAUGUCCGAGAAGGGACUGGCCGAUUCUGAGGCAGCGCGGGCGGAGGCUGUCUCGCGGAUGAAGGCCGCCGAGGCCGAGCGACAAUCGGCGCUCAACCAACUGACUGAAGAAAAGGCUGCGCACACACUGGCGCGGUCCGAGUUGCGCGCCUCUGAGGCGCGUCUUGCCGAGGCCCGUGCCGAAGCCGCGGGCCAAAAGUAUGAGGGCGGAGUUCUCCGUCUAAAGAUCGAGCAGCUCGAAGCUCGAGAGAAAAGGGCGCUCGAGCGAGCUGAAAAGGCUGUGGAGCUCUUCAAGGAGUCGGAAAAGUUCCACGACAUGUUGGAGGAGGAGACCGUGGACGGGUUCCUCCGGGGCUUCGAGAAUUUUCGAAGGCAGAUGGCUCGGUACUGCCCCCAGCUCGAUCUUUCGGGGAUCCGUCUGAGGAUGGGGAUAGGCGCUGAGUCCGAGGACGACGUCCCUGCAAUUCUCGCAGCCGAGGAGGAGCUCGCCGAGGCCGAAGCUGAUAUGGCCGAUCAGGCGAUGUCGGAGGCUCCUCCCGGGGAGGUUGCCGAGGGCGCUCCCGAGGCUUCUAGCGAGGUACCAGCUGAGGCCGCUGCGGAGGGUUCCAAGCCAGCGCCUGCCGAAGGCUCUCAGGUUAUUACCAUAGAUGACCCUGAGGGUGACACUGGUGCAGCCGCCGCUCCCUAGACUUAGCUUUUCUUUUGUUUUUUCCCUUUGUGAGUGAGAUCGGCCUUCAAACUUGUUGUAUGGCCGGUCUCUGAUUUUGUAUUUCAGCCUUCGGGUUUUUAUUAAUGAAAGAACUUUCUUUAUGAAUUCAUGUCUACUUUUCUCUUCUCUGCUUAACGGAUAAGCCUUUAUUUUAACCAUUCGAGUUGAUUCCCUCCUGGCGGAUUCCUCUAAGUACUGGAGCUCGGCUAAACUCAUGGACUCAGGUUCGGGUUAUGUGUGCCAAACCAUCAAGCUUAGGUCCGAUGAAGAAUUUCUAGGCGUCGGGCUCAAAUCUUAGGAAGAUUCACUAAGUCUUCGAGCUCGAAUUCGGAGUUUGCCAGGCCCUCGAGCCUGGCUCCCAAAUUUCUAAGGCACCGAGCUCGAGCCUCGGACCCCAAGAGGGGUUUUGCCGGGCUUUCAGAUUCAUCUUCCGGAGUGUUCGGCCGUAGGUUCGCGGAAAGUUUUGGGAUCGGUCUCCGAGGAGACCGUGAAUCAAAGUUAAGUUGCUGCUGGGGCCUCCGCGGUAAUUGGCCCCGAGCCCAGUCGAGGUACCGACAAGUGGAAUGAAAAUAUAUGGUGGGUGCCUUGGCACUCCCGAGCUCGACCAGAGCAUCAAAGGUCGAGGUCAUCGCUACAAACGAACGUUGGCUUUUCGUGUUUGGGUUUGGCUGGGCCCUCAUUCAGAGUGGUUUGUGCGGGCUGAGAUGGAGAUCAUAAAUAAGGAGAGCAUGCGCGGGGUUGACGGGACCUCGGCCUUGGGUCGAUCCAAAAGGGCAUCCCGACCUUGGUCGGGGAAAGUCCCGAGGUUGAUCGAGAUCUCGCCAACGAUUCAUAAGCAAAUGGAUAUAAUGGAGCAGGCGCUAAGUGGGAUGUACCGCUUGUGCCUUCGAAGUCGAGCGCCCAAUGUUGAAGCAAGCCGCUUGGCUCCUCAGCCAGCUUUCAGAGGCAUUUUUUGGCCUGGGGUCCGCUUAGGGAACGCCGGCAUGCUGGGAGAUGUCGCUACCGUCGGGACUUUGCGUAGAUGUCAUUCCGCCGUCGUCGUUAGAUAUCACGGAGAACCGCGAAGGUACUACCCCAUCUUCCCGAGGUCGAGAGAGCUCGGGCUCGCUGUCGACCUAAUAAUGCUUCCCGGGGUCGAGGGAGUUUGGGACUCUACGGUCGACACACGGGGCAUCCCGACCUUAGUCGAGGAAUUGNNNNNNNNNNNNNNNNNNNNNNNNNNNNNNNNNNNNNNNNNNNNNNNNNNNNNNNNNNNNNNNNNNNNNNNNNNNNNNNNNNNNNNNNNNNNNNNNNNNNNNNNNNNNNNNNNNNNNNNNNNNNNNNNNNNNNNNNNNNNNNNNNNNNNNNNNNNNNNNNNNNNNNNNNNNNNNNNNNNNNNNNNNNNNNNNNNNNNNNNNNNNNNNNNNNNNNNNNNNNNNNNNNNNNNNNNNNNNNNNNNNNNNNNNNNNNNNNNNNNNNNNNNNNNNNNNNNNNNNNNNNNNNNNNNNNNNNNNNNNNNNNNNNNNNNNNNNNNNNNNNNNNNNNNNNNNNNNNNNNNNNNNNNNNNNNNNNNNNNNNNNNNNNNNNNNNNNNNNNNNNNNNNNNNNNNNNNNNNNNNNNNNNNNNNNNNNNNNNNNAGUUUGGGACUUUACGGUCGACACACGGGGCAUCUCGACCUCAGUCGAGGUUUUUGAGGGAGACCGGGACCGAGCUCGAUAUCGACGCGGCGGGGCGUUCCAGGCUCUGCUGGGGCAUUCGAGCUUGGUCGGGCAUUCGAGCUUAGUCGGGCAUCCGAACUUGGUCGGGCAUCCUGAGAUUCACGGACAUCACGUUGUCAGGAAGAGUAUGAAAUAAUUAAUGGAGAACCGUAAGCGAAUUAUCAUAAGUGGAGGGUGAGAGUUGUAUUCCCAUUUGUCGACGACCCCCGAAGAGUCUAUUGGUAGUACAUCCGAAGAUUCUUGGAGUUCCAGCUUUGAGGGAUGAAAGUUCCCUCAAGAGAUUCCAAUUUGUACGCUCCGGGCCGCUGGACUCGCGCGACCCGGUAAGGUCCUUCCUAAUUUGGGGCUAGCUUCCCUUGUUCAGUCGACUGAGAGGCUUCAGCUCUUCUGAGGAUAAGAUCCCCCACUUUGAAAAGCUUGAGCUUGACUUUGGAGUUGUAGUACUAGGCCGUUUUCUGCUGGUAUCUCGCCAUGCGGACUCGGACGACUUUCCUUGUCUCUUCGACGAGGUCCAAGUUGUUCCUGAGCCGAGAAGAGUUGGAGUCGGCAUCGUAAUGCUCCACUCUCAGGGACGGGAGACCGACUUCCAGAGGAAUAACGGCUUCCGUCCCGUAUGCCAGGUUGAAAGGGGUUUCGCCUGUGGGUAGUCGGAACGUAGUCCGGUAGGCCCAGAGAACGUUGUACAAGUCCUCGACCCACUGUCCUUUGGACCGAUCGAGCCGACCUUGAGCCUCUGCAAAAUGGUGCGAUUUGUUACCUCGAUUUCUCCAUUUGUUUGGGGAUGGGCGACCGAGGUGAAGCGGUAGUCGAUGCCGAGCUCGAAGCAAAAUUCUCUGAAGCGCAUGUUGUCAAACUGGCGACCAUUAUCAGAUAUAAGGAUGCGGAAAAGUCCAAAUCUACAUAUGAUCGACUUCCACACAAAGUCCCGCAUCUUUUGCUCGGUGAUCCGGGCCACCGGUUCAGCUUCGAUCCACUUGGUGAAGUAGUCGAUGGAGACAACCAGAAAUUUUUUCUGUCCGGUUGCCAGAAAAAACGGCCCCAGGAUGUCGAUUCCCCACUGGGCGAAUGGCCAGGGGACACCGAUCGAGGUCAGCGAGGCCGAGGGUCGGCGUUGGAUAUUGGCGUUUCGCUGGCAUCGGUCGCAUUUUCGAACGAAGUCCGUUGCGUCCUUUUGGAGUGUGGGCCAAAAGUACCCUUGGCGCAAAAUUUUAUGAGCCAGUGCUCGGCCUUUCAGAUGGUUCCCACAUAUCCCUUCAUGGACCUCUCGCAUAGCAUAGUCCGCCUCUGACGGACGGAGGCAUCUGAGGAGAGGAGAGGUGAAGGAUUUUCGGUAGAGCUUGCCUUCAUAUAAUAUAAAUCGGGAGGCUAGACGUCUAACUCGGCGAGCCUCGAGCUCAUCAUUGGGGAGGACUUCACUUUGAAGAUAAUUGACAAGCUCGUCCAUCCAAUUGGCUCGGCGUCGAUGUGCAUAGUCGGUUCAGGCUCUUCCGUGCUGGGUGUUUGGAGAUAUUCAAGCGCCGUCGCCUUUGGGAGCUCGCUCAUACGGAAGGUCGCCAACUUCGACAGUUCGUCUGCUCUCAGGUUCUCUGACCUGGGAAUAUGCUGGAUGUUGAAGGAGCCUAGGAUGGAUGUGAGGUCUCGCACUUUUCGGAGAUAUUUCUGCAUCGAUGGCUUCUUCGCUUCAAAAUCUCCCAGAACCUGGCUCACGACCAGUUGGGAGUCACUGAAGACCUUCAGGUCUUCUGCCUUCAACUCCUUCGCCAACUUGAGCCCGACAAUGAGCGCCUCAUAUUCCGCCUCAUUGUUAGAAGCCGGAAACUCAAGGCGUAGGGCCUGCUCUGCCACCACCCCAUCUGGGCUUGUAAGGAUAAGACCGGCUCCGCUACCCUCCGAGGUUGAGGAGCCGUCCACAUAUAGCAUCCAUGGUAGCCCCGGGGUCUCCUUUGUUGGCAUGAGUGGGUGCUCGGGGUCGUCCGGCAAAGUGCACUCCACGAUGAAAUCGGCGAGCGCCUGGGCUUUGAUUACCGGCCUUGGACGGUAUUCGAGGUCGAACUCCCCGAGCUCGACUGCCCAUUUGGCAAUCCUUCCGGCACGGUCCGACCUCGGCAAGAUUUGCUUUAUAGGCUGGUCAGUCAGUACGGCCACAAUGUGGGCCUAAAAGUAGGGCCGAAGUCUCCGAGCUGAAGUGAUCAAAGCGAAGAUUGUUUUCUCCAAUUUGGAAUAUCGGGUCUCAGGGCCUCUGAGAACCCGGCUGGUAUAGUAGACAGGCCUCUGGAGCUUGUCCUCUUCCCGGACCAGGACUGAGCUUACUGCGAUCGGGGAGACGGCCAAGUACAAAUAAAGGACUUCGCCUUGCUGAGGCUUGGUGAGUAGCGGAGGGGAGGCAAGAAGGCACCUAAGCUCUUCAAAGGCUUGCUGGCACUCCUCCGUCCAUAGGAAGUUCUUUGGUCGUUUAAGGAUCUUGAAGAAUGGGAGGCAGCGCUCGGCCGACCUGGAGACAAAUCUCCCCAAAGCCGCGACCCGCCCGAUAAGCCUCUGCACUUCCUUGACCGUCUUUGGAGGUACCAUCUCUUGCAGUGCUCGGAUCUUCUCGGGAUUAGCUUCGACUCCACGCUGGGUCACUACGAAGCCCAGGAAUUUGUCCGAGGUGACUCCGAACGCACAUUUUGCAGGAUUGAGCUUCAUUUGGUACUUCCUGAGCUGGGAGAAUGUUUCAUUGAGGUCGGCCACGUGGUGCUCUGUGGUUCGGCUUUUCACCAGCAUGUCAUCCAUGUAGACCUCCAUAUUUCGGCCUAUCUGAUCUUUGAAGAUUCGGCUGACCAGUCUUUAAUAUGUAGCUCCUGCAUUCUUCAGUCCGAACGGCAUCACCUUGUAACAAUAAGUACCCUUGUCGGUGAUGAAAGCCGUCUUCUCCUCAUCCUCAAGUGCCAUUCGGAUCUGAUUGUAUCCCGAAAAGGCGUCCAUGAAGGUCAGCAGCUGAUAUCCCGAGGUCGAGUCGACAAGCUAGUUGAUGCUGGGAAGGAAAAAACUAUCCUUUGGGCAGGCCUUGUUCAGGUCGGUGUAGUCUACGCACAUACGCCAUUUUCUAUUGGCUUUCUUCACGAGGACCACGUUGGUGAGCCAGUCCAGAUAGGAGACCUCCCGGAUGAAGCCGGCCUCGAGGAGUCUGUCUACUUCCUCGGCCGCCGCUUGCUGUCGUUCCGGGGCUGAGCCUCGCUUCUUUUGCCUCACGGAUCUGCAGGUUGGUUUCACCUGGAGUCGGUGAACCAUGACCUCGGGGUCGAUUUCCGGCAUGUCGGCGGGCGACCAGGCGAAGACAUCCAUGUUGGCCUGGAGGAAUUUGAUCAGGCGCUCCCUUUCGCAGGAGCUCAAGCCGGAGCCAACCUGCACGGUUAGCUCAGGAUAAUUUUCCUAUAAAGGGAUUCGGGCAAGAAGCUCACCAGGCUCUACCCGCUUCUUCCAGAGGUCGUUCCGUACGUCUAAGGUUUCAAUGGGCAACAUGCGAUCCAUUGCUUGAGUUGGUGCCUCGGCUGGUAGCUCCUGUUGGUUUGACGCCUCGACCGGUGGUUUUGCUUUGCAGGUCGCCAUGUAGCACUGCUUGGCCACCGCCUGGUCUCCAUGGGCUUCGCCUAUCCCGUAAUUGGUGGAGAACCGCACGAGCAAGUGAUAAGUUGAGACCACAGCCCGGAGGGCGUUCAGUCCCGGCCUUCCCAAAAUGGCAUUGUAGGCUGAAGGCAGGUGGACUACAAGAAAAUCCGUUCUCACGGUGCUUUCUCGAGGGGCGAGCCCAGCUAUGACAAGAAAACUGACCUCGCCCUCAACCGGGACUGAGUCCCCGGUAAAUCCAACUAGUGGGGCGUUCAUCCUCCGAAGCUGAUUUUCUGUCAGCCCCAUUUUUUGAUAGACAUUGUAGUACAAAACAUUUGCCGAACUCCCAUUAUCAACCAAGACGCGCUUUACAUCGAAUUUAUUUACAAUCAUAGAGAUGACCACAGCGUCAUCGUGAGGGGUCUUAACCCCUUCCAAGUCCUCGUCCGAGAACGAGAUGACUUCAGAAGUGCGCAGACGCUUCGAUGGAACCCCUUCUUCGGCUGGCUCUUCAGCCGAGCUCCCUCCUCCAAUGACAUUGAUGGUGCCGGCGAUGGGCCUGUUGUCAUUUGGAUUUUCGGACGGCACGGCGUUUUCCACUGGCCUCCUUUCCUCACGUCGGUUCCUCACAAACCGAUUGAGCACCCCGCGGCGGAUAAGCGCCUCGAUCUCGUCUCGGAGCUGAAAACAAUCCUCCGUAUCGUGGCCGUGGUCCCGGUGGAAGCGGCAGUACUUCCUAGGGUUGCGUGGGAUUCCUACAUCGCGCAUCGGAGGCGGGGGUCGGAAGAAGUCCCGACCCUCGAUCUCCAUUAGGAUCUCGGCCCGGGGCGCGUUGAUGGGAGUGUAAUUCUCGUACCUCCCCGGGUGCAUUCGAGGCCGUGGCGGGGAUCUUAGUCGAGGCGGGGACCUUGGUCGAAGCCGUCCCUGCUGCCGAGGCGGGUUCUUCAGCCGAGGCAGGUUCCUAUCCCGGCGGGGAGAACGGCUUCUCGGGUGGCCAUGCUCCUCACGGCGCUUCCUUUACUUCUUUGAGGCCGGCUCGAUCGCGCCCCGCCUAGAGGCAAUAGCCUCCUCGGCCUUCACAUAUUUUCGAGCUCGGACCAGCAUUUCGGUGAAGUCGGCGGAAAAGCUCUUCUCGAUGGAGAAGAGAAAUCUGUAGGAGCGAGCGCCGGUCUUCAGUGCCGACAUGGCUAUCGACUGGUCGAGCUCACGGACCUCCUAGGUCGCAGCGGUGAAGCGGUCAAGAUAUUCUCUGAAGGAUUCCCCCUCCUUUUGUUUGACGUCCCGGACGGAAUCCAAUGUCCGCCGCUAACAUCGGCUGGCAGCGAAGUUGGUGGCGAACUGCCGGCCGAGCUGCUCGAAAGAAGAUACCGAGCUCGGCUUCAGUCCAGAGAACCAAAGCCGAGCGGUUCCCCGAAGGAUAGCUGGGAAGGCCUUGCAAAGCACAGCCUCCGAGGACCCUUGCAAUGCCAUGAGGGCUCGGUAGCUCUCCAAGUGGUCAAGGGGGUCGGCAGUUCCGUUGUAGGGCUCCACUUGGGGCAUUUUGAAUCUCGGUGGGACCGGCUCACCCUCGAUUUGGCGGAAAAAGGGGAACUUGGUGGUGAACUCAAAAUCACCCUCGCGCCUUGCCUUCCUGUUAUGAAGCGCUUCAAUCUGGCGCUCCAGGUUCUCGACCUUCCUGUCGAGCUCCCCAACCUGGGGGAUUGUCACGGUAACCUGCUCCGGUUCGUGGCGGUCCGGAGCCGACUCAGCCUCCGAAGGCUGCGGCCUUCUGCCUAGGCUUCUUUCCGGCAGUUCUCUCCGGAGAGACGCUCGUUCUUCAUUAUUAGCCCUGGAGGAGACAUGAAAACUUUGGCCCUGGAGGAUCGGUCUAUUUGGAGGAAGCACCGGUUGGGCCAGGGCCUGUGGAGGUAGCAUGGGUGAGGCUUCCUCACGCCGCAGGCCUUGGACGACGGCGGCCAAAGCCUGGACCUGCUGCGCCAGGAUGCUGAACUGUUAUGGCUGGACUUGGGGAACCGGAUCAGCCGGAGGCGGCGAGUUCUGGACGGAAUGUCCAGGGCUUGGUGGAAGACGCCGGAAAACAUUGGAGGCUCCUUUACUUCUCAACUUCAUGGCCGCGACUCGGGCCCUUCCUCUAGCGCCAACUGUUGCUGAAAACUGGACCCGGGGGCGACCGGUCCGCUAGGAAGGAGGAGCUCCGGCAAGAACUGGCGGGCGGCGAUCCAUCAACGAGCGGCGUCCUCCGCAAGUGGCCUGCAAAAAGCCGGUGGCCGGGGUUUCCGGCGCCAGCCCUCCGAUGGCUAAGUCAGAGGGGGCAAGUGUAUUCAAAAGUGGGAGGGGAGAAAAAAUAUCACCUAGACUUCGGAGUCCAAUCCCCCUUUUUAUAGGGAGAUAUAGGAUUACCUGUGAUAUGAUGGGGGAAAUUACCGUAUGGUUGAGCAUGUCGUCGGAAUUAAUGCACGAUCGUAUGUAUUAAUGGCUUGCCGUGUGAGAUCAGGUCGGAGUCAGGGAGCAGUCAUGACGGAUCGGACGUAGCCGAGCUGAGUUGCCGUGAAGAGCUCGAGGUCCGUAGAUAACAGGAGUCGCGUGCAUUAAUUGUUGAGUGAGCUGAGGGUUUGCAGAGACCAUGUGCAUUAAUUGUUGAGUGAGCCGAGGGUCUGCACGGACCAUGCUCAUAAAUGGUUGAGUAAGCCAGAGGUCUGCAGAGAUCAUGCGCGUUAAUUGUUAACGGCGGUGACAGGGUAUGGCCUCUGGUUAAGCUUCAGAAGGAUGUGACUGUGGUGGGUGGGCGGCGAGGUCGGGCUUCCGAGGUCGGCGAACUCCGAGGUCGUGCGCCUGGUCAGGCGUCAGGCCGGGCGUCCGAGGUAGGGUGCUUAGACCGAAGUUGCGUGUCAGGUUGGGCGCCUUCAGUUCGGCCGCCCUCAGGUCAGACACUUAGAGGUCGGACGUUCUCAGGUCGGGCGCCGGCAGCCGGUUUACGGGCCUUGGGGCUGUUUAUUUUCCCCCAACAACCGUUAUGUUGUCUUGUCAAGGAGUGUCCAUGACUCUUGAGGAGCUUAGGGCUCGUUUGGUUCGGAGGAAAGUGUGGUCAACAGGAAAGUAAUGAGAUGCCUCUUGUUUAGUUAGAAUUUUUAAAGAAGAGAGACAAAAAAGUUGUAUUUGCAUGGAAAUAUGAUUCCCACAUUUCAUUAAAAAGUCUUUUCCAUGAAAAACAUGGAAAAGUUACUUUUCUAUGAGUCGAAAAUCACUCCAUUCUUAUUUUUUUCCAAAAAGGCCCUUCAUUAUUAAAAAGACAUUAAAGACCUAAUUUUUAUUAAGAAUAUAAUAGAAAUUAUACAUAACUUUUUCAUAAAAGUGGAUGGUCAACCAAACAUAAACACUCUGAAAAUCUGUCACUUUCUCAUGAUCAACCAAGCAUGCCAAAAGUACUUUUUCAGGCAUGCUCUUUCUAGAAAUCUGCUUCCUAAGAAUUAUAUUCCUUGGAGGAAAAAUGUUUUCCGCGAACCAAACGAGCCCUUAGAGUUUUCAGGUGUCUGACAUGCCAGAAACUAUACGCUUAGAGAGUUUCCUGGCAACCAAAGUGCAGGGACUCACGUAAAUCAAAAAUCUGAAAUCAUUCCACCAAGAAAGCAAAAUCUUUCCAGGUGCAACUGGGGACUUGAGGGAAGAAGAUGGCAUCUUGUUUCACAACUCAUUAUGCCAACUCAAUGCUAAAGUCGCUUCAACACAUUGAACUCUUGGAGUUAUUCGGCAAGACAGGGUCGAUAAAACUAUGAUAAUGGACAUGAAUCAAAAUCUAUCAAGAAAAGUGCCUCUAAGAGAACGAAAUGAUGACCCAUUAAUCAAGAGGGCGAACAGGACGAACUUUUGCAGCGCAUUUGGAAGCGUAACAUGAAACAGUCAAGAAAAACAAGAAAUUAAAGAAGAUGGAUGAAGGAAGAGAGGAUGACCUACCAGUAGAUCCCGUCGAGAUAUCUGGUUUAAAAUAUCUUGAUCUCACCAAGAAACAGCAAUGGAGAUUGAAAUAAAGCAGGUGCCUCCAAGAAUUCGAGUAAAUAGAAUUCAGAUACAUCGAUUACAUCGGUCCAGAGACGGCCAUCUGAAAUCUUCAAAACAAGGAACGAGAUCUCAAUAUCUUUCAAAUAAAUCAAAAGCAACAAUCGCAAGAAAAAGAGAGGAGAGCAAUUAAGGCGGCCGAUCAAGAAGAGAGUCGAAGCUCACCAAAGAGUUCAAAAGUCUCCAAGAUAGAGAGGAGAGGAAAGAAAACACAAAUCCUUAGGGUUCCGUCCUUCUCCUAAGCUGUGAAGGAAAAAAACAGAACAAACCCCCCACACGCCAGUUGUGUGACCGUUGCUUUCCCGUGGAGUCGAUCGAUCCGAUGUGAUCGGAGGCGGCAGCGUCCGAUGAGAUCUGGACGGUCUCCGUGGCUGACCGGGCGUGGAUGGGAUUUUUUUUAUGCUUUCUCGAAUUCUUCAGUGAAGCGACA
rnacentral:lncRNA from 1 species